UAAGUACCGUCAAGUCCCUACACGUAGGGAGGUUUCUUCCUGUAUAAAAGCAGUUUACAAUCCAUAGGACCGUCUUCCUGCACGCGGCAUGGCUGGUUCAGGCUUGCGCCCAUUGACCAAUAUUCCUCACUGCUGCCUCCCGUAGGAGUA
rnacentral:rRNA from 1 species